UGCAUGGCUGUCGUCAGCUCGUGUCGUGAGAUGUUGGGUUAAGUCCCGCAACGAGCGCAACCCUCGUCCUUAGUUGCCAGCAGUUCGGCUGGGCACUCUGGAGAAACUGCCCGUGAUAAGCGGGAGGAAGGUGUGGAUGACGUCAAGUCCUCAUGGCCCUUACGGGAUGGGCUACACACGUGCUACAAUGGCAUCUACAGUGGGUUAAUCCCCAAAAGAUGUCUCAGUUCGGAUUGUUCUCUGCAACUCGAGAGCAUGAAGUCGGAAUCGCUAGUAAUCGCGUAACAGCAUGACGCGGUGAAUACGUUCCCGGGCCUUGUACACACCGCCCGUCACACCAUGGGAGUGGGAUGCAAAAGAAGUAGUUAGUCUAACCUUCGGGAGGGCGAUUACCACUUUGUGUUUCAUGACUGGGGUGAAGUCG
rnacentral:rRNA from 14 species